GGCUUCCUUGGGGACCUUCGCCGGGCAAGACGGAUGAGGRGGUUCACCACCGAUUCUAGGCAUCAGGACGUUGUGGCUAUCMUCAUUGGAAGGUCGCAUCAUCCCAAUGCCGGAAGAGGUGGUCGUGCUGUGACAACCGGCYUGAGAACGAAAAUUGUUGGAUACAGAAUCACGGUGUGCCCACYGUGUCACCGGCGAGAAGCAGUCUGGCGGCCGAAAGGCUGCUGGUUCUUCCACGUCGUUGGCGUAUGGGUGCAAACAAUAUGGGAUAUAUAGUGCCUGUUCUCGCGCUCUGUGGACUUUCGGUCGUCGUCCUCAUAGCAGACCCGUUGUGCUAAGCACGAUGGGAUGCUCGGGCKUCUUGACCGUUGUGGCUACGCUGGCGCAUGAGAUGUUGUGGACAUGUGGCUGCCUGGAGGCCCCCCGUCGUUGUGCGGCCGACUCCAGGUGCAGUGUCCUUUCAAUUGUAUGGGUUUCAAAACCUGUGUCGUUGACGAGUGCUUGCGUUCUGCUACCCGUUCUGCGGGAAGUAGAGCUUCGUACAACUUGCCUUCGUCGCGUGCGCCCUUUGGGYGUGUCGCGUCGAUCACCUAGCGCUUGCGGUGUUGCCUCGCGGCGUCAGCCAUCUAGGCCGGCAUCGUCUAGGACACCUCGCAAUCGCUCUUGGUCUCGGAUGAUGCUCACUGUAUAGGCUCGUGGCAUUUUGGUGCCUCGUU
rnacentral:misc_RNA from 1 species